rnacentral:rRNA from 1 species
GCCAGACUCCUACGGGAGGCAGCAGUGGGGGAUAUUGCACAAUGGGGGGAACCCUGAUGCAGCGACGCCGCGUGGGUGAAGGAGCGUUUCGGCACGUAAGGCCCUAUCGGCAGGGAAGAAGGAGGACGGUACCUGACUAAGAAGCCCCGGCUAACUACGUGCCAGCAGCCGCGGUAAUACGUGGGGGGCAAGCGUUAUCCGGAUUUACUGGGUGUAAAGGGGGCGCAGACGGCAGCGCAAGCCAGGAGUGAAAGCCCGGGGCCCAACCCCGGGACUGCUCUUGGAACUGCGCGGCUGGAGUGCGGGAGGGGCAGGCGGAAUUCCUGGUGUAGCGGUGAAAUGCGUAGAUAUCAGGAGGAACACCGGUGGCGAAGGCGGCCUGCUGGACUGCGACUGACGUUGAGGCCCGAAAGCGUGGGGAGCAAACAGGAUUAGAUACCCCUGUA